UACCAGCACCCCGAGUGGUCGGGACGUUUUAUUGGGCCUAAAGCAUCCGUAGCCGGUUCUACAAGUCUUCCGUUAAAUCCACCUGCUCAACAGAUGGGCUGCGGAAGAUACUAUGGAGCUAGGAGGCGGGAGAGGCAAGCGGUACUCGAUGGGUAGGGGUAAAAUCCGUUGAUCCAUUGAAGACCACCAGUGGCGAAGGCGGCUUGCCAGAACGCGCUCGACGGUGAGGGAUGAAAGCUGGGGGGAGCAAACCGGG
rnacentral:rRNA from 1 species